GUCUUCACUUCAGUAGCAUAUAUACUAAAAUUGAAAUUAUACAGAAAAAAAAUUACUAUGGCCCUUAUUCAAGGAUGACACACAAAUUCAUGAAGCAUCCCAUAUUUCC
ensembl:snRNA U6 U6 spliceosomal RNA